rnacentral:lncRNA from 1 species
GUUGGUGCCAGGCCCUGCUGAGGAUGAGGCUGUCCAGAGCCUUCGCUUGGCCGCUGCUGUGCAGUAUAGCCACAACUGUUAAAGCUCCAUUUGCCACAGCACCCAGUGACUGUGGGGGCCACUACACAGAUGAAUAUGGCAGGAUCUUCAACUACGCUGGGCCGAAAACUGAAUGCGUCUGGAUCAUCGAGUUGAACCCCGGGGAGAUAGUCACGGUGGCCAUUCCAGACCUCAAGUAUUUUUCUUAAAUGAAUG